rnacentral:rRNA from 1 species
UACAGAGGUGGCAAGCGUUGUUCGGAAUUACUGGGCGUAAAGGGCGCGUAGGCGGUUCGAUAAGUCCCGUGUGAAAGCCCCGGCUCAACUGGGAACUGCACGGGAACUGACGGACUUGAGUUCGGGAGAGGGAAGCGGAAUUCCGGGUGUAGCGGUGAAAUGCGUAGAUAUCAGGAGGAACACCAACGGCGAAGGCAGCUCGCUGGGACGGUACUGACACUGAGGCGCGAAGCGUGGGAGCGAACAGGAUUGAGAUACCCGUAG